rfam:Cajanus cajan Scaffold000409_38, whole genome shotgun sequence.
AUGCACGUGCCAAAUCGCCGCCGUUCGUGUUGCAGUUUAGCCCCAAUUUCCCACGGCUGAUCUGUGUCAAAGUAACGGCCAAAUUC